rnacentral:rRNA from 1 species
GACGUAGGGCGCGAGCGUUGUCCGGAUUUAUUGGGCGUAAAGAGCUCGUAGGCGGCUUGUUGCGUCAGCUGUGAAAACCCGCAGCUCAACUGUGGGCUUGCAGCUGAUACGGGCAGGCUUGAGUUCGGUAGGGGAGUGGGGAAUUCCUAGUGUAGCGGUGAAAUGCGCAGAUAUUAGGAGGAACACCGGUGGCGAAGGCGCCACUCUGGGCCGAAACUGACGCUGAGGAGCGAAAGCGUGGGUAGCAAACAGG